UCAAUAUUAUAGUGAUAUAAGGUUUUUUAGAAAGGCUGCACUAAUACUUGUAUUUCUAAUACUCACAUAAUAAUGCAAAUAGGAUUUAAAGUUGUUUACUAAAAUAGGAAACAACAUUAAAAAUAGCCAAAAUAUAUGUCCUAGUUUUCAAAUGUUCACAGGUUAAUUUCUACAAUAACUUACUGAGUUGUAUGGAAUUUACCUACCAAUGAUUCAUAACACUACUUUGAUUUAUAUGAAUAAAAUAUUCAUGAAUAUAAAUGAAAUUGAAGUUGUCAUUAAAAAAAAAAGAUUUAGUCUAAGAGUUUUACACCACAAGAAAAUAACAACUCACACUAAAAUGGGAAAUAAAAGUUAAUGAGUUUCCUAUCCUCUCCCACAAAGACAUAUCUCAGUGGCCAAAAAAUCCAAGAUUAAAUAAUUAGGCUGUUGCCUCCAUCUAAUUUUGCCAGCUAAAGAUACCCCUGUUUAUUCAGUGCUGAAAUAAAAAAAAGUAAUAUAAUGAACAUAAUUUAAAGCAAAAGAGUAGACUGCUUAUUUAAAUCAUGAAGCUUUUUCUUACUCUACUAUUUAAUGUCCAAAAAUCUUGGCAAUCUGCAGUUCUCUUCUUAAAAACUAUUUUCAUACACAUGUCACUUAAAGAAUUAUGCUACUACACGGUGACAAGUGAAGAGGAAUCUAAAGACAAGACAACCUGCAAAGGUUAGACACAAACCUAUAAAUAAUACCAAGCAUCUGUGCAACUGCUAGUGUGGAACCCAGAGGAAUUUAUGCUAAUGAAAUACUGUAAUUUAUUAAACUUGAUGACAGUUCACUGCUCUAAGAGACAUUAAACAACUGUUACAUACUAGAGACUAUAACAUUUCCUCAACGUUUACUUUAUAAUAUUACAAGUGAAACUACAUUACAACAAGGUCUCUUCUGAAUGAAUACUGCUUAAGGAGAAUUAGGGAAUACAAAAGUGAUCUGGGAGGCUGGGGAUAUGGCCUAGUGGCAAGAGUGCUUGCCUUGUAUACAUGAAGCCCU